rnacentral:rRNA from 1 species
UAGGGAAUCUUCGGCAAUGGACGAAAGUCUGACCGAGCAACGCCGCGUGAGUGAAGAAGGUUUUCGGAUCGUAAGACUCUGUUGUUAGAGAAGAACAAGGACGUUAGUAACUGAACGUCCCCUGACGGUAUCUAACCAGAAAGCCACGGCUAACUACGUGCCAGCAGCCGCGGUAAUACGUAGGUGGCAAGCGUUGUCCGGAUUUAUUGGGCGUAAAGCGAGCGCAGGCGGUUUCUUAAGUCUGAUGUGAAAGCCCCCGGCUCAACCGGGGAGGGUCAUUGGUAACUGGGAGACUUGAGUGCAGAAGAGGAGAGUGGAAUUCCAUGUGUAGCGGUGAAAUGCGUAGAUAUAUGGAGGAACACCAGUGGCGAAGGCGGCUCUCUGGUCUGUAACUGACGCUGAGGCUCGAAAGCGUGGGGAGCAAACAGG